UACGGAGGGUGCAAGCGUUAUUCGGAUUUACUAGGUGUAAAGGGCGUGUAGGCGGUUUUUUAAGUUAGAUGUGAAAUCUUACAGCUCAACUGUAUGGCUGCAUCUAAAACUGAAAAGCUAGAGUAUUAAAGGGGAAAAUGGAAUUUCUAGUGUAGCGGUGGAAUGUGUAGAUACUAGAAGGAACACCAAUGGCGAAAGCAAUUUUCUGGUUAAAUACUGACGCUAAGGCGCGAAAGCUAGGGGAGCAAACAGG
rnacentral:rRNA from 1 species